GUAAGCCUGUGUUUGUCUGUCUUGUAAAGUAGAGUCAGAACUGGAUGCUUGGGACCAUUGAGGAAGCAGAAAUGACUAUUCAUUUCUUCCACUGUUUUGCAAUUUUUUUUAUGUCAGAUAGGGGUAGGCAGUAGUAGUUUAUGAAGCUUUUUUACUCUGUGCCACUUUCCAGAUUGAAAGCAGUGUUUGUUGCUUCUGUUAAAAUGACUCUUAUUUUGCCUGAUAAAUGCUGUCCACAGUUGUGGGACUUGAACGAUUCUUUCCCAUUCCUGAUGAAGAGAGGCAGUUGUGCUAAGAAGCAGGUGGGUCAAAAGUGAGGUCUGUCAGUAGUCCAGAUAAGUCACAUAUAUUGUCAAGAGAUUUUAAGCUAUUUUGAGUUCAAGGCUUUUGAUAGUGCUGUAUUAUCACUUACAGGCUAUUUUGAAGGGUAGGGUAUUCACCCAAAGGGAAAAACCACUGUUCAGGUGCCUUCUUGAUUGGCUUAGGGAAAUGAAUAUGCAUCUUCUGCAUAUGUGCAUGCUGUCAAAAAGUUUGAGGCAAAAUGUGGUGGUUUUAUCAGCCACUGUAGUUCUUAUCGAAGCACCUACUUUUCUCAUAGUAGAAUCCCUGUAAUCAUUCCUUUUGCUGGCUCCACUCUCAAUAGUGGAAAUUUUAAUCACCAUUCCUUAUUAUACUUGAUGCACGUACUUGAUGGCUGGCUCUUGGGACUGGAACAGAGGCACUCUAGCAAGUAGUCCUUUGGGUAGAGUAGACAGAUGUUUGUGGGCAAGGAAAUUGUCUUGUUUCAGGGAAAUUUGUUUUCCACAUCUGGGGCUGCUUUCAUUAUAAUAGCUGGAAGUUGUCAUCUGCUAUUAACAGAGAAAAUUUUUUAUUCUACCUUAGCCAUUUAAGAUCCAGUAGAAGUAUUUUCUUUAGUUUUCUUUUUAAGGAUUUUUUUUUAAAUCAAGAUUGUUUUUCUAUGUUUAAGGAAAUAGUGCUGUUUUAUAGAACCAGACCGAUAUUACUAUCUGAGUCUUGUAAUGAAAUGUGAUUAGCUUUUCUUUCUCUUUAAAGGGAAAUCAGAGGAUCAAAACUGGAAGGUAUUGGUUCUCCAUGGUGUAACAGAUGACAACAAGUAUAUAUAGGAUAAACUUUUUUAUUGUGUGGAGACUGGUUAUGUAUGACCCUCUUCCUUGUGCAGCUGUAACAUAGUUGUACCUUUAUUUCAUAUUGUGAGUGAUGUCAAAAGAUGUUUGCAGGACAUCUUCUGAUGUUGUUCAGAAUGUUGGUACUGAUGUAGUUGCCACAGCACGGGACAGCAAAAUGGUUUCUCUCCUUACCCUCUGCUCUAGCAGAGGUAGGCAAUUUAGCACUCUUGGUUCAAAUCUCUGCUUUUCUUUUUGUUUGCUUAUUUUCUUUUGAUCCUAGAUCAUUUUAUUUACCUGUUUCUCUGCAGUCUGUUUCACUCUGUUUCUAGAAAUAUGCCCAGGAAUUUGGUUAAGGACUUCUUAAGAUGGAUUGUUUCCAUAGAUCAGUCAGCCUUCAUCCAACAGCUAUUGCUGUGGUAGGAAGCAGCACUAAGAUGUUUGCUCAUCUUUUAAGUGUCCUCCCAAUUUUAAAAGCACAUCAGGUCUCCCAUGUGUACAAACAGAUAUACCAUGUUCCAUCUCAGCCUUUUCUUUAGUAGGAUAAGCCCUGCAAUUCCUUCUAUCUUUUCUCCAGAACAACUUUCCAGAAAUUGGAUCCAUCACUGGGCACUCUACUGCAUUCACAGUUUGAGACGGAAGAAACGCAUUGCCCAAAAAUCUCCAGCUGAGAUCUUCACUUUCAUCAUCUGUGAGAGCAUCAAAAACCUUGUCAUGAUCAGAACACAUCUGCUACUUCUCCCAUUGCCAGAUGUCUUGUUACCCUGCCAUAAAAAGAAAUCAGGUUAAUUUGUCAAGUCUUGUCAAUACUUGCUGUCUAUGAGGUGCUUGCAUGUGAUCCUGGUUGGUUUUUUUUUCUGUUUGUUUUUCAAAUACUUGAGGGAACACUGAAAGUGAGCUGGCUAGCUUCAUUAAAAAUAGAGGGGGUGGAAGGAGAGGGGAGGGUAAAAAGAAAAAAAAAACUCACCAUCUGCUCUUUUUACAGUCAUUUCUGUGAUUCUCAGAAAUGACUGCUUUAAUCAGAUCAGCUUCAGAAUUAUGUUCAUCUAGCCCUGCUAAUUAGGGAUUUAUUUUUUCCCACUUGCCAAGCUUUCCCUAGCAUGAGCUUUACCUAACUAGGUUGAAGUCUUACCUUUAUGUGUUGGUCUUAAUUGUGCUAGCAGCUGCUUAACAUCUGACCCUGUUCCAAAAGGCUGAUGCAAAUCCAAUAUGCAAUGAUUUCAACAGAGAAGCUGUAAUUAAAGGCAAUGCAACCUGGAGGUCUGACCCACAGCCCACACCCGGCUUGGCAUUUGAUCUUGGGCAAGCCACUUCACUCAAUUUGUAGCUUUUACACUCUGUCUCCGGUCUGUAAAUGGACAUAAUUAUUUCAUCCUUUUCUGCAAAGCACUCAAGGAAUUGCAGUCACCAUUUUUCAGUGGUAAGCAAGAGCUACAGCAGAGUUAAUGCCUUAACUUUAUGCACACAGUAGCAUUAAUUCUUAGCCUGGGAACUGAAUCCACUGCCAGAUACACAUACUUUUUCUUUCAGAGCACAGAUUCCUGGAAGUUAAAGUUUAACUUUGGUAAGGAACACUUUGAAUAAAAACUGUCUACAAUGAUUUAACCAGUAAUUGUCAGAGUAGGGAAAUAAUCGCAUAAAGUUUAGUGAGUUAUUCAAGAUUACAGUGAUUGGUCAAAACUAUUAAAAUUUAGCAUUGAUUUCCUGUUUCAUACAAUAAAUGCCAUUUUUGUUGUUUCCCUUACCCUAAAUAAUUUAAGUUACUAGGUUUGUCUUUGUGUGUGUGUUGCCUGAAUAAAAGGACUCUGUUUCAACUACUGGUGCUUAGUAUUACUUUUGCAAAAGUUGCAUUAUCUAAUUGCUACCCACUUACAAGAAGACAGGGAAUAAGUAAGUCUUCCCUAAAGAAUGAUGUUACAGCUUAUUGGCCUAAGUGUCAGGAUGAAUUUCCUAUGCUCUUCUUCACAGCAGUGUUUCAGUUUUGGAACUGUCUUUACCUUGGAGAUAGGAUUUGAUAAAUUAAUGUGAAACUUAAAAAUGAGGGUGGAGAAAAGCCAUUCUGUCAUACAGAUUUAGUCAU
ensembl:lncRNA